GACCAACUUUUGUGUGGAUCACCAUUGGAGGGUUUUUACUUUGGAGUCUCAUGGAGGUCACCAUCUUACCAUACUACUCAUUUGAGGAAGUACAAAAUUCAAUCUCAUUGCAUGCUUGUUUUUGUUUUGUUCGACAUCUACAAGGUGAUUCUAGGGUUUGGAUUUUGGUUCAAUAGUUUUAAUUGUUAAAGCUUCCGAUAUGCUUGUUUUAAAAUUUUUAAAAUUUAUUUUUUACUAUAUUAUUAGAAUCUAACAGUGGUAUCAGAGCCAUCCUUGUUAGAUUCG
rnacentral:lncRNA from 1 species